UGUAAAGUGCCUGACAAAAGGAUAAUUUUGAUAGAAUUAAUAAUGCACAAUUAGUGCCUUUACAA
rnacentral:tRNA from 1 species